UGAAUUUGAAUGCUGAUGUUAAUAUAGAGAUAGGAAAAAGUAAAACCUGGGAAGAGGUCUUACUUACGAAAAGUAAAACCUGGCAGCAAAUAAAAACCUCAAAUGCGGUUAUUCUGG